GACACUAUAGCCAAGUGGUUAAGGCGACAGAUUAGAACGUGUAUACACACGGUUUGCACUUUAUCUGUUUCUCUCUGAGAGCGUAGGUUCGAACCCUACUGGUGUCG